CAGCAGUGGNNAAUAUUGCACAAUGGGCGCAAGCCUGAUGCAGCAACGCCGCGUGAGGGACGACGGCCUCGGGUUGUAAACCUCNUUUAGCAGGGAAGAAGCGAGAGUGACGGUACCUGCAGAAAAAGCGCCGGCUAACUACGUGCCAGCAGCCGCGGUAAUACGUAGGGCGCAAGCGUUAUCCGGAAUUAUUGGGCGUAAAGAGCUCGUAGGCGGUUUGUCGCGUCUGCUGUGAAAUCCGGAGGCUCAACCUCCGGCCUGCAGUGGGUACGGGCAGACUAGAGUGCGGUAGGGGAGAUUGGAAUUCCUGGUGUAGCGGUGGAAUGCGCAGAUAUCAGGAGGAACACCGAUGGCGAAGGCAGAUCUCUGGGCCGUAACUGACGCUGAGGAGCGAAAGGGUGGGGAGCAAACAGGCUUAGAUACCCUGGUAGUCCACCCCGUAAACGUUGGGAACUAGUUGUGGGGUCCAUUCCACGGAUUCCGUGACGCAGCUAACGCAUUAAGUUCCCCGCCUGGGGAGUACGGCCGCAAGGCUAAAACUCAAAGGAAUUGACGGGGACCCGCACAAGCGGUGGAGCAUGCGGAUUAAUUCGAUGCAACGCGAAGAACCUUACCAAGGCUUGACAUAUACGAGAACGGGCCAGAAAUGGUCAACUCUUUGGACACUCGUAAACAGGUGGUGCAUGGUUGUCGUCAGCUCGUGUCGUGAGAUGUUGGGUUAAGUCCCGCGACGAGCGCAACCCUCGUUCUAUGUUGCCAGCACGUAAUGGUGGGAACUCAUGGGAUACUGCCGGGGUCAACUCGGAGGA
rnacentral:rRNA from 1 species